UGGGGUGUAGCUCAGUGGCAGGGCGCUUGCCUAGCAUGCAUGAGGCACUGGGUUCCAUCCUCAGCACCACAU
rnacentral:tRNA from 1 species